AAGAGCCGCUGAGUGGGGAGGAGAGAGGGACAGAGAGCCUGCUUGCUUUAAAGGAGCAAAGCGGGAGAGGAGAGGAGCCGCUUGCACGAAUGUAAGCGGCUCCUGUCCGGUUGGUUCCUUUAAAGCAAGCAGGCUCUCUGUCCCUCUCUCCUCCCCACUCAGCUCGCUAAA
rnacentral:miRNA from 1 species